AAACCCAUAGCUCCUGAGCAAAAUUAAAAACAAACAAAGAAAAUUGUAAAAAAGAAAAAGCAAAACCUCAGUAAGGCAAAACCCCUUGGUACUGUUUCCUCAUUCACGAUGUCCGCCGCCAGGUGUUUGCUUCGCUCCGCCGCCUCCCGAGCAGCCGGUGCGGCCAAUCUGGCUGCCGGAGCUAGACCGAGACCGGCACGAUCUCCGUUUCGGCUCCCAAAGCAAACCUCAAUCUCCAAUCGCGUUUUUAGGUUACCGGUCGAAGCGAGUUUCUGCGUGGAAUCGAUGCUUCCUUAUCACAGUGCUACUGCUUCCGCAUUGCUGAAUUCGAUGCUCUCUGUGUCUCGCCACUCCUAUGGUUGGACCCCUGAAGAUUGCAAUGAUGAUGUAUGAUGAAUGACAGAGGGUUCGAGCAAGGUUUUAUGUAGAUGCGCUUGAAAAAAGGGUCGUGAUCAUUUGCUCUUUGGCUUUAGGCUUGAGGACUAGCCAUAUGGAUGAUUGCUGUUUGUGGGUGCGGUGCAUCUGCGCAUACUUUGCAUGGAUUUCAGUUUACUUUGUUAGGCCUGCUUAGAGAUUUUUCUCCUUGGUUGAAUAUGAAACCUGAAAGACUUGUAAAUUGAACGAGCAUCCAGAGCUGGUACCAUGCUUAGGUAUGAUGACUCUUUUAGAACAUUAUUGCAACAUUUCCAUUACUUGCGAUAUACAAUGAUUUACUUCACCCUGUUCAUGGAAAUGGUUUUACUCCAAGUGUUAGCAAACAUUCCCAAAUUUUAAAUGUUACACGAGCAUGUUUUAGACCAAUGUCGGUAA